rnacentral:rRNA from 1 species
CAGUAGCCGCGGUAAUACAGAGGGUGCGAGCGUUAAUCGGAUUUACUGGGCGUAAAGCGUGCGUAGGCGGCUUUUUAAGUCGGAUGUGAAAUCCCUGAGCUUAACUUAGGAAUUGCAUUCGAUACUGGGAAGCUAGAGUAUGUGAGAGGAUGGUAGAAUUCCAGGUGUAGCGGUGAAAUGCGUAGAGAUCUGGAGGAAUACCGAUGGCGAAGGCAGCCAUCUGGCCUAAUACUGACGCUGAGGUACGAAAGCAUGGGGAGCAAACAGGAUUAGAUACCCGCGUAGUCCCUGUCUCUUAUAC